UACGAGGUGGACAAACGUUAUUCGGAUUUACUGGGCUUAAAGCGUGCGUAGGCGGCUCAGCAAGUUGGGUGUGAAAGCCCUCGGCUCAACCGAGGAAUUGCGCUCAAAACUACUGAGCUCGAGUGAGAUAGGGGAGAGCGGAACUGAUGGUGGAGCGGUGAAAUGCGUUGAUAUCAUCAGGAACACCGGUGGCGAAGGCGGCUCUCUGGAUCUUUACUGACGCUGAGGCACGAAAGCUAGGGGAGCAAACGGG
rnacentral:rRNA from 1 species